CAAACAGUGCUGUUUCUUAGUCUGGCCUCUAGAUGGUGCUGUGACACCAUGUAACCCUGACCAAAGUCACUGGAUAAUGUGAUCGCUCAUGUCUCAGAUUUACAGUGAGAUGAAGCUCCAGGUUGAAAUGAUCUCUGAAAAUCAGUCAUAAAUAAGUUAAAUUGUGUUUCUGACAUGGAGUUCAACCAAAGCAUGGUCUACUUCACACCACUGUUGUAGCUUUGUUCCUUUGUGUGGGACACAAAGUCUCCAGGUGACCUGAAACCAUAGCUGAAGAAAGGGCAGGGUUCAGGAGGAGGGGCAGAGAGGGGUGUGUACGUGUGUUGCACAGCCAACGCUCUCCUCUCUGGGGGCUAAAGUUGAAAUGAACCUCUAAUGUGGUAAUCCUGGUGGCGGCAGUGCACUGUUUGAUCAGCAGCUGAGUUACUUUUUAACCAUGGGUCCAAAAUCCUGGCAACAGAUACACUCUGUCCUCAGACACUGGGGGUGGGGAGACAGAGGACGACGAGCAGAGAGAUAAUGAAACAGAUAGGGAGGACUUUAACGUCACAUUAUGUGCGAUCAAUAACAUUUAAGUUACGCAGGUCCUCUUCCACUUGUUGCAGUCGGAACAACAUCCCCUGUUGAAUGACCGUCAUGCUGAAGUCCCUGUUCAGGGUGUUAUCUGCUGAGAGGUCAACGUUCACAGGAAAACAUGAGAACGGCCGGGUGACUGGUCAUAGCAUCAGGAGAGGGGUGCAGAGCGCGAGCCUCGGUCAUCUCCAGAGGUGUCAGGAGGAGCAGAGUGGCACAAAGCAGCACAGGACACAGCAUGGCAGCAGAGAGGAUGGACAGGAAAAACUGGAGCAGGAGGACUGAAAAUGCACUGGCUGCAACUACUCUUCUCCAUCUCCCUGGUUCUCGGUCUCUCGGCUACCUCUCACUUGUUGGCACCUGCAGGGAGCAUCACUAUCUCACCCGGCUGACUCCUCCUACUCCUCGCUCUGUGAUGGAAUUGAAAGGAUGGUGGG